CAAUAAACUCCAUGUUUAUUAUGAUAUGGAUUUUUAUAUCAAUAAACAUCCACUUUGUUGUGGUAUUCUUUUGUUUGUGUAGUACAAACUGGAGAAUAAAGCGGGUAGCUUUUCAUAUACAGAUUAUCCCGCUACAAGUUGUAGUAAUAGAAGACAUCAAAUCUUUCCUUUAUUUAUAGUCUCAAUAUAAUCAAUCGCUUUCGCAUAUACUUUGGAAACUGAAUAAGUUUCUUUGAGACUUACUACAACACAAUACCUUAUUGGUAAUCAACUGUAUUUCUCCAAAAUAGUAUAAUUGGCUCUUGCAGAGUUCUCAAUUA
rnacentral:lncRNA from 1 species